rnacentral:rRNA from 1 species
GACGAACCGUGCGAACGUUGUUCGGAUUCACUGGGCUUAAAGGGCGCGUAGGCGGGUCAGCAAGUCCGGGGUGAAAGCUUUCGGCUCAACCGGAAAAGGGCCUUGGAUACUGCUGGUCUGGAGGAAGGUAGGGGCGUGUGGAACUUCCGGUGGAGCGGUGAAAUGCGUUGAUAUCCGAAGGAACGCCGGUGGCGAAAGCGACGUGCUGGAUCUCUUCUGACGCUGAGGCGCGAAAGCCAGGGUAGCGAACGGG